rnacentral:rRNA from 1 species
UACGUAGGGUGCAAGCGUUAAUCGGAAUUACUGGGCGUAAAGCGUGCGCAGGCGGCUUUGCAAGACAGAUGUGAAAUCCCCGGGCUCAACCUGGGAACUGCAUUUGUGACUGCAUGGCUAGAGUACGGUAGAGGGGGAUGGAAUUCCGCAUGUAGCAGUGAAAUGCGUAGAUAUGCGGAGGAACACCGAUGGCGAAGGCAAUCCCCUGGACCUGUACUGACGCUCAUGCACGAAAGCGUGGGGAGCAAACAGG